GGUCAGCGAAUGGAUGGAUUAUCCAUUCACGGUACAUAAUGAAAGACUUGACUGAGUUAGAAGAAACUGAGCGACUCUUCAGAGUGAAGAUGUUAUGAUGCAGUUAUGUCAAAGCACUCAUUUCGGCUGGCCAGAUUGGAACAGACCUGAAUGGGAAGAUGGCAGAGCUAAGACUGGCAAUGUCCAAGAAAAAUAUUAACUAAAAAUGAGUGUUUUUCACCAGUGAGUGAGUUUGGGAAUGUUUUAAAUGUGCCUAGAAGUUUGAAAAUGUAAUACUGAGGGAAAAAAGUGAGCGCUUUGAAAAGGCUUUAAAAAGAAAAUAAAGUCUGAUGUUGAUGUUAAAUGAAGUUAAAGUUUUUACUU